rnacentral:rRNA from 1 species
AUUGAACGCUGGCGGCAGGCCUAACACAUGCAAGUCGAACGAGUGGCGGACGGGUGAGUAAUGUCUGGGAAACUGCCUGAUGGAGGGGGAUAACUACUGGAAACGGUCGCUAAUAACGCAAACCAUCUGAUGUGCCCAGGUGGGAUUAGCUGGUUGGUGGGGUAAGGGCUCACCUAGGCGACGAUCCCUAGCUGGUCUGAGAGGAUGACCAGCCACACUGGAACUGAGACACGGUCCAGACUCCUACGGGAGGCAGCAGUGGGGAAUAUUGCACAAUGGGCGAAAGCCUGAUGCAGCCAUGCCGCGUGUAUGAAGAAGGCCUUCGGGUUGUAAAGUACUUUCAGCGGGGAGGCGGUACCCGCAGAAGAAGCACCGGCUAAAUCCGUGCCAGCCGCCGCGGUAAUUC